rnacentral:rRNA from 1 species
CCCUGCCCUUUGUACACACCGCCCGUCGCUCCUACCGAUUGAAUGACCCGGUGAGGCUUUCGGACCGGCCACACUUUGUUGGAAACAACAGGCGUGGCCAGGAAGAUAUCCUAACCUUGCCAUUUAGA